AGCCUAACACAUGCAAGUCGAACGGUAACUUUUGGUGCUUGCACCGAAAGACGAGUGGCGAACGGGUGCGUAACGCGUAUGCAAUCUACCUUUUACUAGAGUAUAGCCCAGAGAAAUUUGGAUUAAUCCUCUAUAACAUCAUUUAUUCGCAUGAAUUUAUGAUUAAAGCUUCGGCGGUAAAAGAUGAGCAUGCGUCCUAUUAGUUAGUAGGUGAGGUAAUGGCUCACCUAGACUGCGAUAGGUAGGGGUCCUGAGAGGGAGAUCCCCCACACUGGUACUGAGACACGGACCAGACUCCUACGGGAGGCAGCAGUGAGGAAUAUUGGACAAUGGACGAAAGUCUGAUCCAGCUAUGCCGCGUGCAGGAUGACAGCCCUACGGGUUGUAAACUGCUUUUAUACAGGAAGAAAACCUUCGACGUGUCGAAGCUUGACGGUACUGUAAGAAUAAGGAUCGGCUAACUCCGUGCCAGCAGCCGCGGUAAUACGGAGGAUCCAAGCGUUAUCCGGAAUCAUUGGGUUUAAAGGGUCCGCAGGCGGUUUUUUAAGUCAGAGGUGAAAUCCUGCAGCUCAACUGUAGAAUUGCCUUUGAUACUGAAAGACUUGAGUUAUUGUGAAGUGGUUAGAAUGUGUGGUGUAGCGGUGAAAUGCAUAGAUAUCACACAGAAUACCAAUUGCGAAGGCAGAUCACUAACAAUAUACUGACGCUCAGGGACGAAAGCGUGGGUAGCGAACAGGAUUAGAUACCCUGGUAGUCCACGCCGUAAACGAUGGAUACUAGCUGUAUGUCUACUUCAGGUAGAUGUGUGGCUAAGCGAAAGUGAUAAGUAUCCCACCUGGGGAGUACGAUCG
rnacentral:rRNA from 1 species